UUCAUAACAAUUAAACUUGUUUAACAAAAGGAUCAUGCAUGUGUGUAAGCAAGAGAGAGAACAAUCCUCGUAUCUAAUGCAUUUUCUAAUUGAUCUCACCCAAAAACAAACAAGAAUAUCAAAAGAAAUUCAGGAUCUUGAAGCUCCAACCAAGUGAAAACCUCAUAUGAUCUACUACAAAGCUAAAAUGCUUCCAUCACAAUCAGCCUUGGUUGCAAUAAAAGGGAUCAACUACUACACUAAUUCAACAUACUAAAGAUCCUCUCUUUUCAUUAUCCAAAUAAAUAAAAAAAUUCUUGUCCUUUUGAUUUGUUUCUCAGGUUUCUCCCGCCAUGUAACAAGAAACAGGGCCAAACACAAGACUUGUUUGGAAUCUCCUAAGAAAAUCUGAUGGGCCCGACGUAUCUUACUUGCAAGAUGUAGGAUGCUAAUGGUUGCAAGCUUAACUUUCAAUCACAUUCAUGACUCUCU